GAAUCAUUAAUGGAGCUGGUUACUCAUCACAAGACUCCCCGCCGGUGUGGGCUCGAAGCGUUUACCGAGCUCCUCGAGAUUUCAGUGGGACUCGGCUCCCUCCUAAAGAUACCUAAAGGAUCCAUAUGAACCUACCUAGAUUUUAAGAUUAUCAUCCUAGGCUCUGCUCUGUGGUUUAUAUUUAAAUCAGACCUGUUGGAUAGAUGAAGAAUAUUCCCUGAGUUUCUCCGUCUGUUGCCCAUGCCAACUGCUUCAAGAAUCGAUUGCUCUGCAUUUCAAUAACCAGAGAUGAAUGGAGGCAGAAGA